rnacentral:lncRNA from 1 species
AGUUUUUCAAUUGCUUUGUAACACAAUCACUAGGCAUAUUCAAGAUUAGAGACUUUAGAUACAUAAUUUUGGAGCAGAGAUCUUCUCUCCUCCCCCCAAAAAAGAAAAAGAAGAAUUCAUAUGUGUGCAUAUAUAUAUAAUUUUUUUUUUUGAGACGGAGUUUCACUCUUGUUGCCCAGGCUGGAGUCCAAUGGUGCGAUCUUGGCUCACCUCAACCUCCGCCUCCUGAGUUCAAGCAAUUCUCCUGCCUCAGCCUCCAUGAGAAUCCAAUAUGUAAAACAGAUGACGGUUGUGAUGCAGGGACAGAAAAUUCAGAAUGCCACAUGCUUGGCCUCAUUUCUCUGGGUGGCCUACCCAAGAGCUUCAAGAAAAACAGUUUAAGAAAAUGCUAACUUCAGCAAUAUUGGCAAGACAAAGCCCCUUACACUCCUUAGUUCUUUAUUCAGCAUUGUUCUGCUCUCAUUUAUUAAAAAUUCCAAGUACCAUUGUCAGUAUUCUUCAGAAAAUCUUAUAGUGCUGUCUCAUUUCUCUUGGCAAAAGAAAGCCUGUUGUGCAACCCAAUGAAUUUAAUUUUUUUUUUUUAAAGAAUCGUGCCACUGCACUCCAGCCUGGGCGACAGAACGAGGCUCCGUCCCCCAAAAAAGAACUGAAGCAUUUAGAAUCAUAGUGGCAGUGGUGGUGGUGGUGAUGGUGAUGGUGAUGGUGAUAAUGAUGGUGAUGGGAUGGUGACGGUCAUGGUGAUUUUGGUAGUGGGAGUAUUGGUGUGGCAUUUCAGCAAAUGUUGUUUUCAUUUGUUUUAACCAUCAGCCAAGGAACAAAGCAAUCUGUCUCUUCAAUAUAGUUACACAGGUGACUAAGUGUCACCCGCUUCCACCUUCUCUAAUCAAGGAAAUGGUGACGAUCAGGUUACUAUAGAUUCCUUAUAAGGUGCCUUCAUAAUGGAUAACUGUAGCCAUUUUAUGUAAGCAUUGUCCUGUGAUUAAAAAAAAAA